rnacentral:antisense_RNA from 1 species
UCGCCUGCAUCUUCGGAGAGAGGUGCUGAGCCCUCCCUCAUGGACACGGGGUCCCGGGAGGCAGCCUUCACCAGGGACCUGCCCAGGAAACCAGCAGAUGCCCAGGUCAGCCCUGAAAUGUCCAUUACUCACAAAGAGAAGGAAAAUGCUCAUUUGAAAGAAAUUCUUCUCUUUGUCAAUGCUGAGGCAUUCUCUCAGCCCCAGCCCCACAGUGCUCCAGUGUGUGAAGGGCAACAGCUGACGGGGAAGUUCAGCACAUCUGUGCUGACCAGGGCUGGAGGUGAUGCCAGUCUGUGCAGCUGGGAAUGCCUCCUCUGCUAUGGCCGGAGCCACUGCUGAAGGGACUCCACCUGGCACCUGUGCCACCAAUGGCCCCUGAACGGGUAUCCAGGCCCACCCUUAAUAAAGAUGAGCUGCUCAUUCCCA